rnacentral:misc_RNA from 1 species
CAGAGUGUAAAAACUCCCAAAACCCAUGUGAACAUACCUUUUUGUUGCUUCGGCGGGAUCGCCCCGGGCGCCUUGUGUGCCCCGGAGUCAGGCGCCCGCCGGGGGACCUAAACUCUUGUUUUUGACGAGUAUCUUCUGAGUAACGUUUUUAAAUAAAUAA